CGGAAGCGCCGCGCACGCAGUUCCGCGGGCGGGGCGGCGCUCGGCGCGGCCGGGAUGGCACCGGAGCUCUGGGGCGCGGCGCUGGUGCCUCGGGACGGCGAUCGCUCACCUUCCUGCCACCCCCGACAGCGGCUGACGCUAACCGGGGACAGAGCCAAGCCUGAAGUGCCUCUGCCGCCUGCUUGGUUCGGUUUAACAGCAGUGUCCUCCUAGUGCCGCUCGGGGUACACCCGGGCAGAUGCAGCGGCACAAACGAGUAUUCCCCGGCAGGGAAUCACAGGAUCAGUUCGGUUGGAAAAGACCGCCAAGAUCAUCCAGUCCAACCUGUGGCCGAACGCCACGAUGUCAAAUAGAUCAUGGCACGGACAUCACUAGCAUCUUCAGGAUCCCACUGAUGUGUAACUGCAGAGACACAAAUCCUCAGCCCCUGCAUGUGCCCCAUGGUGCCAGCACAGGGUUCCCUGCAGUGAGGAGCUGCUCACACAACUUCCAGAAUCUACAAUAAGGCCUCCCUGCUCGUGUCACCGAUGGGAUUCAGUCCAGGAGCAGUCACAGCCUGCAGAUCCGACCUCAUCCCUCAAUUCUUUUUAAUGCCAGUUGUUGAGUUUCUUAAGAGCCCUUCUCUGUCACAACCCACAAUGGUUUAUAAAUAAGCUGUGAAAAGACAUUAAUAAAAAACGUGGUUUACCUUGCCCAUUGCCACAUAAACCAGAUGGUGUGAGUCGUUGGCUGGUACUGUCUGUUUGCUUUUGAUAGCAGCAGUUAAGAUACACCUCUAAGUAGGGCAGGACAGUUUUUUUCUUGGAUACUUCUCAGGUAAAUUUUCUUGUUAGAGGCACCAGCACCUGAAUAAUAUUUUCAAUAAGACAGAUGUGAGAAUCCACAAGCUAAAAAUUCAGAUGCUCAGAAUAACAGUAAUUUAGGAAUUAUUCCUAUUAUAUUAAUAUUAUUAAUAUUAUAUAAUAAUAUUGCUAUUAUCUGCCUCAGACUUUUCAGUUAAAGGACUGGCAAAAGAGAAUAAAAAGCAAGACAAUUACAAAGAAACUUGACACAGAGUAGAUCUUCAAAAAGGCAGUGUAACUGAGCAGACCUGUGAUUAGAAGUGAACAGUGAAAGUACUUGACUUUUAACAGUAUUUUAAUUUAGUGCCAGAAAGGAUACCAUACAGCAAAAUUGUUCUGUGUUUAUUAACGAGUUUGAGAAUAUGCUGACCAUUGAUUCAAAUAUGCUUUCUAAAUGAAGGUCAUAGAUAAAAGUCUGAACUCCGGCAACUUCCGUUGAGGUCUUCAAAGUAAUAAUCACAUUGGUUUAAAUAAUGUAUGUAAAAUAAAGUGAGCAUUGAGGAUCACACUGCUGAUCAUUUUUUUCAAACCUUAGGCUAUCAUUGCAACCACAUGCACUCCCUCCCAGCUCUGCUCCUCAGGAUGGAGAUAGAGAGAUUAGAUAGAUAGAUAGAUAGAUGAUAGAUAGAUAGAUAGAUAGAUAGAUAGAUAGAUAGAUAGAUGCUAUGUUAUGUGUUACAUUAUGUUAUAUGUUAUGUUAUGUGUAGGAUGUUGUGCAGUUUACAGUUUCUCCAGAUGGCCCUUCUGGCAGUUGCAGCAAUGAGCAGAUUUAUCCUGGAACAUGGGCACUAUGUGUAGCCUUCUCCAGUUGUUUAUGACUUUCCUUGACGUGAAUUAGUGGUCAUAUGAAAUCAACCCUGGUUUGAUCUCAAUAGACCUGUAUCACUGACUAUAUAUAAUGACUAUUCUCUUUUUGGUUUUUUUAAUCCUAGUCAGGUUGGUGCACGUGACUGCUUGCUUAAAGGCAUUAAUUUCUGGCAGAAAUAAUCUUAUUUAUAAACAUUUUUCGUACUAUACCUCUUACCUUUUCUUCCUAUAGAAAAAAUUUGCUUCUUGAGUUUUAAUACAUUUGCUUCCAGUUAUUCUCAGCAUCCUUCAUUUUCGAGAUUAUCAUCUCAAAAGACAUUACUUUUUUGUUCACUGACUUUUCUAAAGUCUGCUUUUUUUUCCUUAUUGCAAGUCUUCUGUUCUUUUUUCUUGCAACAAGAUAACUCCAUUACACUUUCAAACAAACUACCUUCACUUUCUGGAUUUUCAACCAGUUCCUCCUUGUUUAAAAACAGAAGUAGCAUUUUGGCAUAUUCUAGUCACUUCCUAUAUUUCCUGAGACAGAAAUUGAUUUCCAUUGUGCUCAGCAAACUUGAUGGGCUGGUGGGGACCUGCCAGUAAAAUGCAGUGCUCUGAAAGAAGAAGCUGAGCUGCAUCAGUGCAGCUCUCUCUGAACUGAGCAGCAGUGCUGUGAUCUCCCACACACAUUCCUUCUGGUCCUGGCUGGCCUGACCAGUUCAUGCUGCCUUCACAAACAUGUGAAGAACAUUUGCUCUCCAGGAUUACUUUUGUCCCUCUCUCGUGAGUGAUUUAUGCAGUACCCCUGAGCUGCUUACUCAAAUGGCAACUGUUGAUCAGAUCUUAAAAUUAAAUAGUUACCAGGGAAUAUUUCCUUGGAAGUGGUAUAUCCAGUAACUUCCUUCAAGGACACUGGAGACAAUUUCAUUGUAAAUGUCUGGUUUUAGCCAAAUUUGUUUGUAUUUUUGGCUGAAUUUUUUUAUUUGGGACUUCCACUGCAGUUUUCAAGCCCUUAAAUACCUCUUUAGAGGGAACAUAUGAGGGCAUCAGUUCUCCUGGCAGUUUUUCCCUUUUACUGAACGUCUUGGUAAAUAUUUGAGAAUCUCUUGGCCCCUGAUCGUGUGUAAUCAGUCUCUGGUCAACCCUGUGCCCAUUUUGACUUGUCUGAAUAAAUCUCUAAGUACUGUUU